UACAGAGGGGGCGAGCGUUGUUCGGAAUUACUGGGCGUAAAGGGCGCGUAGGCGGCCUUCUAAGUCGAACGUGAAAUCCCCGGGCUCAACCCGGGAACUGCGUCCGAUACUGGGAGGGCUUGAAUCCGGGAGAGGGAUGUGGAAUUCCAGGUGUAGCGGUGAAAUGCGUAGAUAUCUGGAGGAACACCGGUGGCGAAGGCGGCAUCCUGGACCGGUAUUGACGCUGAGGCGCGAAAGCCAGGGGAGCAAACGGG
rnacentral:rRNA from 1 species